rnacentral:rRNA from 1 species
GACAGAGGUGGCAAGCGUUGUUCGGAUUCAUUGGGUGUAAAGGGUGCGUAGGCGGUUUGGAAAGUCAGAUGUGAAAUACUACAGCUUAACUGUAGAACUGCAUUUGAAACUCCCAGACUAGAGUGUGGAAGAGGUGAAGGGAAUUCCCGGUGUAAGGGUGAAAUCUGCAGAUAUCGGGAAGAACACCAGUAGCGAAGGCGCUUCACUGGUCCAUUACUGACGCUGAGUGCACGAAGGUGUGGGGAGCAAACGGG